GACGAACGCUGGCGGCGUGCCUAAUACAUGCAAGUCGAGCGCAGGAAACUGACGGAACUCUUCGGAGGGAAGGCAGUGGAAUGAGCGGCGGACGGGUGAGUAACACGUAAGGAACCUGCCUCAAGGAUUGGGAUAACUCCGAGAAAUCGGAGCUAAUACCGGAUAGUUCAACGGACCGCAUGGUCCGCUGAUGAAAGGCGCUUCGGCGUCACCUUGAGAUGGCCUUGCGGUGCAUUAGCUAGUUGGUGGGGUAACGGCCCACCAAGGCGACGAUGCAUAGCCGACCUGAGAGGGUGAUCGGCCACACUGGGACUGAGACACGGCCCAGACUCCUACGGGAGGCAGCAGUAGGGAAUCUUCCACAAUGGACGAAAGUCUGAUGGAGCAACGCCGCGUGAGUGAUGAAGGUUUUCGGAUCGUAAAACUCUGUUGUAAGGGAAGAACACGUACGAGAGGGAAUGCUCGUACCUUGACGGUACCUUACGAGAAAGCCACGGCUAACUACGUGCCAGCCGCCGCAGUAAAAC
rnacentral:rRNA from 1 species